rnacentral:rRNA from 1 species
UACGGGGGGGGCAAGCGUUGUUCGGAAUUACUGGGCGUAAAGGGCUCGUAGGCGGCCAACUAAGCCAGACGUGAAAUCCCUCGGCUUAACCGGGGAACUGCGUCUGAUACUGGAUGGCUUGAGUUUGGGAGAGGGAUGCGGAAUUCCAGGUGUAGCGGUGAAAUGCGUAGAUAUCUGGAGGAACACCGGUGGCGAAGGCGGCAUCCUGGACCAACACUGACGCUGAUGAGCGAAAGCCAGGGGAGCAAACGGG